UACAGAGGUCUCAAGCGUUGUUCGGAUUCAUUGGGCGUAAAGGGUGCGUAGGCGGCGCGGUAAGUCGGGGUGUGAAAUCUCGGGGCUUAACUCCGAAACUGCAUUCGAUACUGCCGUGCUUGAGGACUGGAGAGGAGACUGGAAUUUACGGUGUAGCGGUGAAAUGCGUAGAUAUCGUAAGGAAGACCAGUGGCGAAGGCGGGUCUCUGGACAGUUCCUGACGCUGAGGCACGAAGGUCAGGGGGAGCAAACGGG
rnacentral:rRNA from 1 species